rnacentral:misc_RNA from 1 species
UACAGAGGGUGCAAGCGUUAAUCGGAAUUACUGGGCGUAAAGGGCGCGUAGGCGGGCGAUCAAGUCAGCUGUGAAAGGCCUGGGCUUAACCUGGGAACUGCAGUUGAACCUGAUAGUCUAGAGUCGAGCAGAGGGGAGCGGAAUUUCCGGUGUAGCGGUGAAAUGCGUAGAUAUCGGAAGGAACACCAGUGGCGAAGGCGGCUCUCUGGGCUCAGACUGACGCUGAGGCGCGAAAGCGUGGGUAGCGAACAGG